CCCUUAGAUGUCCUGGGCCGCACGCGUGCUACACUGACGCCUACAGCGAGUACUUCCCAGCCCCGAGAGGCGGCUGGUAAUCAGCAAUAGGCGUCGUGAUGGGGAUAGAUCUUUGGAAUUAUGGAUCUUGAACGAGGAAUGCCUAGUAAGCGCAGGUCAUUAGCCUGCGCUGAUUACGUCCCUGCCCUUUGUACACACCGCCCGUCGCUACUACCGAUUGAAUGAUUUAGUGAGGACUUCGGACUGGGACCGAUGCGGCUUUCGGGCUGCGUCGGUAUUCUGGAAAGAUGUCCAAACUGUAUCAUUUAGAGGAAGUAAAAGUCGUAACA
rnacentral:rRNA from 1 species